UACGUAGGGUGCAAGCGUUGUCCGGAAUUAUUGGGCGUAAAGAACUCGUAGGCGGUUUGUUGCGUCGGCUGUGAAAUCCCGUGGCUUAACUGCGGGUCUGCAGCCGAUACGGGCAGGCUGGAGUUCGGGUAGGGGAGACGUGGAAUUCCUGGUGUAGCGGUGAAAUGCGCAGAUAUCAGGAGGAACACCGGUGGCGAAGGCGGGUCUCUGGGCCGAUACUGACGCUGAGGAGCGAAAGCGUGGGGAGCGAACAGG
rnacentral:rRNA from 1 species